CCUACGGGGGGCAGCAGUAGGGAAUAUUGGUCAAUGGGGGAAACUCUUACCCAGCAAUGCCGCGUGGAUGAAGAAGGUCUUCGGAUUGUAAAGUUCUUUAGUUGGGGACGAAAAAAAUGACGGUACCCGAGGAAUAAGCCCCGACUAACCACGUGCCAGCAGCGGCGGUAAGAAGGGGGGGGCAAGCGUUGUUCCGAAUGAACGGGAGUGAAGGGGGUGUAGGCGGGGUAGGAAGUUAGAAAUGAAAUACCUAGAGCUUAACUCAGGUGCUGCUUCUAAAACUGUUAUACUUGAGUGCAGGAGAGGAAAGUGGAAUUCUUAGUGUAGCGGUGGAAUGCGUAGAUAUUAGGAGGAAUACUAGUGGCGAAGGCGACUUGCUGGACUGUAACUGACACUGAGGCACGAAAGUGUGGGGAGCAAACAGGAUUAGAUACCCUUGUAGUC
rnacentral:rRNA from 1 species